AUUAUUGUGGUAUGCAACGUCCUGACUGGUGGAAAAUGCUUGCAGAAAGAAACGGCUGUUGUCAGGUAAAAAUGUCACUGUCAAAGUGGCUGGAGCUAAAAAAAGUUGACGUGGAAAAGCCCAGCUUUAAUGAUGAAUGGACUGAUAAGCAGGCUAUGCAUUCAUCAUGUAUGCCUCAUUUGCAAUGAAAUGAUGCUGUUGCAAAAUAAAACCACCAGCAUCAUCAUCAAGAAUGAAGAACGGAAAAAUAACCAUUCCGUUAUUCACGUGCAUAUUAAGUAGCCACAUACAUCUGUUUUGGUCCUAUAAUACAUCCAUAGAUUUAGCGCUGCAGCGGACAGGAUGGUUUGUUUAGCAGCAGCUAAGUUUCUAAGAAUUUGUCAAAAUUUCAAGAUUCCUGGCAAACUAAGAUAAACAGUCAGACU